rnacentral:rRNA from 1 species
GACGAACGCUGGCGGCGUGCCUAAUACAUGCAAGUUGAGCGCUGAAGGUUGGUACUUGUACCAACUGGAUGAGCAGCGAACGGGUGAGUAACGCGUGGGUAAUCUGCCUUUGAGCGGGGGACAACAUUUGGAAACGAAUGCUAAUACCGCAUAAAAACUUUAAACACAAGUUUUAAGUUUGAAAGAUGCAAUUGCAUCACUCAAAGAUGAUCCCGCGUUGUAUUAGCUAGUUGGUGAGGUAAAGGCUCACCAAGGCGAUGAUACAUAGCCGACCUGAGAGGGGGGUCGGCCACAAUGGGACCGGGACACGGCCCAAACUCCUACGGGAGGCAGCAGGAGGGGAACCUCGGCAAUGGACGAAAGGCUGACCGAGCAACGCCGCGGGGGUGAAUGAGGUUUUCGGGUCGUAAAACUCUGUUGGUAGAGAAGAACGUUGGUGAGAGUGGAAAGCUCAUCAAGUGACGGUAACUACCCAGAAAGGGACGGCUAACUACGUG